rnacentral:rRNA from 1 species
UGAACGCUGGCGGCAUGAUUUACACAUGCAAGUCGAACGGUAACAGGCCGCAAGGUGCUGACGAGUGGCGAACGGGUGAGUAAUGCAUCGGAACGUGCCCAGUCGUGGGGGAUAACUACUCGAAAGAGUAGCUAAUACCGCAUACGAUCUAUGGAUGAAAGCGGGGGACCGUAAGGCCUCGCGCGAUUGGAGCGGCCGAUGUCAGAUUAGGUAGUUGGUGGGGUAAAGGCUCACCAAGCCAACGAUCUGUAGCUGGUCUGAGAGGACGACCAGCCACACUGGGACUGAGACACGGCCCAGACUCCUACGGGAGGCAGCAGUGGGGAAUUUUGGACAAUGGGCGCAAGCCUGAUCCAGCAAUGCCGCGUGCAGGAAGAAGGCCUUCGGGUUGUAAACUGCUUUUGUACGGAACGAAACGGCUCUGGUUAAUACCCGGGGCUAAUGACGGUACCGUAAGAAUAAGCACCGGCUAACUACGUG